GGCACUUGUGUAUGUUUUUGUUAUGGACAAAGACUUACAGAUAGGUGAGAAAAAUAAAUCCUGUUUGCAACCCAGAACUCAUUAUUUAAUAUGAGUUUGACACAAAGAAGAAGGAAUAUU
rnacentral:snoRNA from 1 species